AUAGACCAUCACGUUGAUAGGCUGGGUGUGGAAGCGCGGUAACGCGUGGAGCUAACCAGUCCUAAUAACUCUGAUCAUGCUUGAU
rnacentral:rRNA from 1 species